GGAGCUGUGCCUGAAGUAAAGGAUCACUUUGAUAGAGUGCAUCAUGGAGGUUCAAAUCCUCCCAACUCCU
rnacentral:tRNA from 1 species